rfam:Salmonella enterica subsp. enterica serovar Typhimurium str. LT2, complete genome.
GAAGCUGACCAGACAGUCGCCGCUUCGUCGUCGUCCUUUCGGGGAGACGGGCGGAGGGGAGGAAAGUCCGGGCUCCAUAGGGCAGGGUGCCAGGUAACGCCUGGGGGGGAAACCCACGACCAGUGCAACAGAGAGCAAACCGCCGAUGGCCCACGUAAGUGGGAUCAGGUAAGGGUGAAAGGGUGCGGUAAGAGCGCACCGCGCGGCUGGUAACAGUCCGUGGCACGGUAAACUCCACCCGGAGCAAGGCCAAAUAGGGGUUCAUAAGGUACGGCCCGUACUGAACCCGGGUAGGCUGCUUGAGCCAGUGAGCGAUUGCUGGCCUAGAUGAAUGACUGUCCACGACAGAACCCGGCUUAUCGGUCAGUUUCACUU